rnacentral:rRNA from 1 species
UACGUAGGGUGCGAGCAUUGUCCGGAAUUAUUGGGCGUAAAGAGCUCGUAGGCGGCUUGUCGCGUCGGAUGUGAAAACCCGGGGCUCAACCCCGGGCCUGCAUUCGAUACGGGCAGACUAGAGUUCGGUAGGGGAGUCUGGAAUUCCUGGUGUAGCGGUGAAAUGCGCAGAUAUCAGGAGGAACACCGGUGGCGAAGGCGGGUCUCUGGGCCGAUACUGACGCUGAGGAGCGAAAGCCAGGGGAGCAAACGGG